rnacentral:tRNA from 1 species
GCCCCGGUAGCUCAGUUGGACAGAGCACGUCUCUGGCUUAGGCGAGGUCGUGGGUUCGAGUCCCACCCGGGGCG